AUUGAACGCUGGCGGCAUGCUUUACACAUGCCAGUCGAACGGCAGCGCGGGCUUCGGCCUGGCGGCGAGUGGCGAACGGGUGAGUAAUGCAUCGGAACGUGCCCAGUAGUGGGGGAUAGCCCGGCGAAAGCCGGAUUAAUACCGCAUACGACCUGAGGGUGAAAGCGGGGGACCGAAAGGCCUCGCGCUAUUGGAGCGGCCGAUGUCGGAUUAGCUAGUUGGUGGGGUAAAGGCUUACCAAGGCGACGAUCCGUAGCUGGUCUGAGAGGACGACCAGCCACACUGGGACUGAGACACGGCCCAGACUCCUACGGGAGGCAGCAGUGGGGAAUUUUGGACAAUGGGGGCAACCCUGAUCCAGCCAUGCCGCGUGCGGGAAGAAGGCCUUCGGGUUGUAAACCGCUUUUGUUCGGGAAGAAAUCCUCUGGGCUAAUACCCCGGGGGGAUGACGGUACCGGAAGAAUAAGCACCGGCUAACUACGCG
rnacentral:rRNA from 1 species